UGGCUGGCUGCCUUAACACUUUCCCCCAGU
rnacentral:piRNA from 1 species